rnacentral:lncRNA from 1 species
GCUUUUGAUGGCGCUGCUUCUGUAUCUCCAUGGCUCUGCCAACUAAACAAACACAGAGUUGUUACACGGCUGAAAGAGCUUUUAACUGUUCCCAACAGUCAGAUGUAUUUCAGGAUACCUAUAUAUGUUAAAAUGUAUGCAAAUCUUAAUUUAAAGAAGAAAAUUCUGCUGAGUCUUCUUAGUGCUUUUCUUUUCUUUGUGCAUGUGUAUUUUGUUUUGUUUUUAAAGACAAGAGUCUGAUUGGUUUUCAAGCUCAUACUUGGGGUGCAUACAUUUCCUUGUCUGACAUACUUGCACUGCUGUCAUGUCGGCUGGGUCUCCUCGGUGGGCCCAAGAUAUUAGGAAAGCCUCUCCUCUUUCCUUUUUCAUCUCCUUCUUUCUCUUUCUUGAUACUUUGCUUGAUCUUUGGCAAGAAACCAAUACGGCCACGCUUCUGCUCCAGGUUCCGAGCCUCUUUAGCUUUGACUCCGAGGUGCUUCAUGUAAGUAAGAAUCACAUACUGUAUGGUGGAACUCUUGUCUUCCUCCAAAGGUUGGGAUGUCAUCAGGACUUCCUCAAUUUUGGCAAUAAUCUGUUCUGCACAUGCUCUUUCCUUCUCCACUGCGUUCCGGUCACGAACCCUUUCUGCAUCCAACUUGGUCAACUCCCCCUCUGCCAGGGUCAAACCCAUACUAC